AAUACGAAGGGGGCUAGCGUUGCUCGGAAUCACUGGGCGUAAAGCGCACGUAGGCGGAUUGCUAAGUCAGGGGUGAAAUCCUGGAGCUUAACUCCAGGACUGCCUUUGAUACUGGCGAUCUUGAGUCCGGGAGAGGUGAGUGGAACUGCGAGUGUAGAGGUGAAAUUCGUAGAUAUUCGCAAGAACACCAGUGGCGAAGGCGGCUCACUGGCCCGGUACUGACGCUGAGGUGCGAAAGCGUGGGGAGCAAACAGG
rnacentral:rRNA from 1 species